CACGCGCGCGCGCACCCCGUAGCCGUUGCCCGCUAGACUGCGGCUGCACGCAGUAAGGACAACUGUGAGGACAGUCUCAGAAGAGUCCGCGGGACCUCUCCCAUUUGAGAAACCCUUAUCCCAGAUUCGUGUGUAGUCCGUACUCAAUUUGAGCCGGAAGUGGACAUCACGUCGUGUCUUCAGUUGCGACCUGCAAGAAAGAACAGAUUUGCUGGUGCUAUGGACCAGCGUGGGUCCCCCGGAAAAGUCUUUAAAGUGUUUGAUGACGAUGAUCUCACAGAGAGUAUCGCUUUUCAGUUCGUCUUAUGGAGAAACGAGCGAAUAGUGUCAUUUUAACAAGAAGCUAGAACUCAUAACCCCACCACCACCACCAUGUUCUGCUAAGAACGGAAACUUUAGUCAUCUCUUUCAUUUUCCAUCAUUACAAAGAAAUAGCGUUGCUGAUUGUGGGACUAUUCCUACCUGUGUAUUUUAAACUCAAAAAUAACAAACAUUUUUUCCUUGAUUUGAGGCAUAGUUAAGAAUAGAAGCCACUAUUUGCAAGUGCUGGGCAUUUUGUUUUGUUCCAACAAGGAGAAAGUAACUAAGACAAUCAGACUGCCAAAUGACAUGAGAAAAGAUCACUGGCUUAGCUAGAUUUAGAGCAUAUGGGUACUGUACUGGGGAUUGAACCUAGGACCACUAAGAAGCAUGUUCAGCCUCCCCAACUCCCACUUUAUACAAUUCUGAGACAAGGUCUAAGUUGCCCAGGCAACCUCAAACUUGCAAUCCUCCUCUCUGUGUUCUAUCUUUCUCUAAAGACCAGUUUGUAGUGACGAAGAUUCCUGCAAAUUCCUGAACUCUUGCAGGUGCUAAAAUUCCAGUCAUCCUCUGAUGGCUUGAGAAUACAGCCCUGUUUCUCUGAUGAGGAGUAAUCUAACAAAUAUGCUACCAAUGAUCAAAAAUCACUGGACACAGCCAUGUGUGACAAUAUAUGUGUAAUCUAAGCUGUCUGGGAGGCUGAGGGAGAAGGAUGCCCAGUUUGAGUACAGCUUAGACAACUCAGCAAAACCCUGUCUCAAAAAAGGUUGGUGAUAAAGCCCAUUGCUCUGACAGGUUGAAUUCCCAGUACCGGAGAAAAAAAAAAUGUUGGAAGUAAUGACAACUACAUCAAUUCAAGAAACAGUGAAAUCUGGCACCUCAAAGAAACAGCGACAAAAUCUGUCCCACUAAUUAAAUAAGAAAAUCAAAGCUUAAAAAGUUGAAAGACUUGACUUCAUCCAGAUCUUAGAACAAAAUAGAUAGGAAAGGUACAUAUGUAAAUCAAGAUUCAGUAUGUACAUUUAAAACCCAGAAAAUAUCAAAACU